rnacentral:misc_RNA from 1 species
CGGCAUCGGAGAAACCAAGGACAGGGGAAACUGCAGGCGACCAGCGACGGCGAGGGAAAUUUCUCCACGAUUUUUGAACCUGAACCGCCGGGGGGCGCCAUUGGGUUGAUGGAAUUGUACAUUGUUAGAUGCUCGCACGGGAGGAGUCUCUUUAGAGUCUUCAAGCCCUUCCCUGUUUCUCUGAAAACGAGUAUUUCCAAGCCCCACCACAUGUCAAUUCAAAACGUUAG